rnacentral:rRNA from 1 species
AGGUACGCCGGGGAUAACAGGCUGAUACUGCCCAAGAGUCCAUAUCGACGGCAGUGUUUGGCACCUCGAUGUCGGCUCAUCUCAUCCUGGGGCUGGAGCAGGUCCCAAGGGUACGGCUGUUCGCCGUUUAAAGAGGUACGUGAGCUGGGUUUAGAACGUCGUGAGACAGUUCGGUCCCUAUCUGCCGUGGGUGUAGGAUACUUGAGAGGAGUUGCCCCUAGUACGAGAGGACCGGGGUGAACGAACCACUGGUGGACCUGUUGUGGCGCCAGCCGCAGUGCAGGGUAGCUAUGUUCGGACAGGAUAACCGCUGAAGGCAUCUAAGCGGGAAGCCCCCCUCAAAACAAGGUAUCCCUGAGAGCCGUGGUAGACCACCACGUCGAUAGGCCAGAGAUGUAAGCGCAGCAAUGCGUUCAGUUGACUGGUACUAAUGGCUCGAUAGGCUUGAUU